ACCUGGAUAGCUCUGUUGGUUGGAGCGUGGUGCUGAUAAUGCCAAGAUUGCAGGUUCAAUCCCCGUAUGGGGCA